rnacentral:tRNA from 1 species
GCGGGUGUGGCGAAAUUGGUAUACGCGCCAGGUUUAGGUCCUGGUCCCUUCGGGGGUGGAGGUUCGAGUCCUCUCGCCCGCAC